UAUCAACAUAACUUGGGGCUUGACCCGG
rnacentral:piRNA from 1 species